AUGUCGUCACGCUCUACCUCCGUCAUCGUCGCCAGAGCAGUGAGCGGGCACCAUUUGCUCAAGAUCGAUGGGUACUCGCAAACCAAGGUGGUCACCCAUGGUAGAGGCAUCAAAUCCUACACUUUUAAGGUCGGAGGCCACAGUUGGCUUCUCCAGUAUUACCCCAAUGGCGAGCCCUCGGGUCCUGACACUUACAUAGAUGAUGUCUUCAUUCAGCUUGUCAGUGUAAGCAGGGACAUGCCGGUCAAGCCUGACAAGGGCAUCUCAGCUCAAGGCUCGCUCAGUUUACUGGACAGGGCUGGGAAGCCAGUGCCAUCAUAUACCAGCACCUUCAAUAGAAGUUUCACAACCACUGGGAUCUUGGUCUGGUACACCUCAAGGACGACCCUAGAGAACUCAGGUUAUCUCAAGGACGAUUGCUUCACUCUCAGGUGCGACAUCACCGUCACGGAGCUGCGUGCCGAGAAAACAGAGGAUUGCGAUUUCGCCUAUCUCCUGUGGAAGGAGGGGGCAGAUGUGGCCUUCCAUGUGGGAGGUGAGACAACCGCCGCCCAUCAAUGGGUGCUGGCUGCCCGGUCUCCGAUCUUGAAGGCAGCAGCCGAAGCAGAGCUCCUUGGCGUGCCAGAAAGGGAGAAGAAAGACGCCCACGGCCACCAAGACUGCCAGAUGAAAAGCCUAGCUCUAGCCUCCAUGGUGGCGCCCUCCAGCGCCUCUAGCUCUGGAGUGAUGAUUGUGUAG
rnacentral:rRNA from 1 species